rnacentral:misc_RNA from 1 species
AAUGCAACAAAUUCAAAUGGAAGAACAUUUGGUCCAUUUCGAUUUUCAAGCCCUGGUUUCGCAUCUACCUUAUCCCUCUCAUCUUGAUCCUGAAAGCCCCCUGGAAAAUUGUUAUGAUUUUCCCUUGAUUGUGGCUCUUCAGGAUCAUACAAAUUUUUCCAGUUUGAAUCAUCACCAUAGCACUCCUGGGCUUUAGUGGCGUUAUAAUGACCCAACAACCUCGUCUUUAAUUCCUCAACGAAAGGUGUAACAGAGGGGUCCUUGGAAUUCAGCAAAAGAACUUCCUGGGCAGUAAUUAUUGCCUUGAUAUGCUCCAAGUUGAUGACAAUCGCUCUCUCUCGACCCAAAAUUGUAGAUGG